AUUGAACGCUGGCGGCAGGCCUAACACAUGCAAGUCGAGCGGCUGAAGGGAGCUUGCUCCUGGAUUCAGCGGCGGACGGGUGAGUAAUGCCUAGGAAUCUGCCUGGUAGUGGGGGAUAACGUCCGGAAACGGGCGCUAAUACCGCAUACGUCCUGAGGGAGAAAGUGGGGGAUCUUCGGACCUCACGCUAUCAGAUGAGCCUAGGUCGGAUUAGCUAGUUGGUGGGGUAAAGGCCUACCAAGGCGACGAUCCGUAACUGGUCUGAGAGGAUGAUCAGUCACACUGGAACUGAGACACGGUCCAGACUCCUACGGGAGGCAGCAGUGGGGAAUAUUGGACAAUGGGCGAAAGCCUGAUCCAGCCAUGCCGCGUGUGUGAAGAAGGUCUUCGGAUUGUAAAGCACUUUAAGUUGGGAGGAAGGGCAGUAAGUUAAUACCUCGCUGUUUUGACGGUACCAAAAGAAUAAGCACCGGCUAACUUCGUG
rnacentral:rRNA from 1 species